rnacentral:misc_RNA from 1 species
AUUGAAUUACUAUUACUACUUAUGUAAUAAUAGUUCGAUGUGGUAGGUAGCCACAGUGCUCCCCCUCAAGUGAAACGUACUGGAAGCUUGACGGAGCGGCCGGCUCGCGUUGUGACUUUAUUAUUAUUCGCGGUCGGUUGUGACGUCACGCUGCCGUGCGGCUUGUCGGAAGUAUUCUGUGGCGAGGUACUAUUCUGUAGUGACGUAUCGUUAGGUAUGUUUUCUUGUAAUAAGUAAGCGGGCUUGAGACGAUCUAUUGAGAUGUUAGUUUCGCGAUUUUGUAGUUGUAUCGUAUAUACUUUCUCUGUUCUUUUUAUUACACGAUACGGUCCUUCGUAGGGUGGUUGUAAAGGUUUUUUAAUUGCGUCGACUCUAACGAAUACGUGGCUGCAGUUGCGUAGGUCUUUAUGUAUAAAAAUAGAUUGCUUGCUAUUAUGAUGCGUCGUCGCUGCUUGCGGUUGCUAUUUCUUCGUAAUUGAUUGCAGAAGGACAUGUAAUUGUUUCUAUGCGACUUAGAGCGUCGGCAACGAUGUUUUGUUUGCCGCUUACAUGUCUUAUGUCGGUUGUAAAUUCGCUAAUAAAUAAUAACUGUCUCGUGCGUCUCGGUGUUUCUGUAGUCGA